rnacentral:lncRNA from 1 species
GGGGGUUAUCCUAACACUCUAAUGACUCAUUCAAUCUCACUUAGAAAAGAAUUUGUCAUGUGGUGAGAGUAGUAGGAGGUCCUAGUCUUGGGUGCUUCUAGUAUGACCCAAGGCGAGUGAUAACGGACUUACACUUGUGUGUGUGGUAGGGUUCAACCCAUGGCAAUGGCUUUGCAAAGCAGUAGAGGCCACCACAAGUACACAACCC